rnacentral:tRNA from 1 species
CAAAAUGUAACUUAACUAAAGUCUUUCGCUUACACCGAAAAAAUGCUCGUGAAACUCGAGCCAUUUUGA